GACAGAGGGUGCAAACGUUGUUCGGAAUUACUGGGCGUAAAGCGAGUGUAGGCGGUUUGAUAAGUCGGAUGUGAAAGCCCCGGGCUCAACCCGGGAAGUGCACUCGAUACUGUCAAGCUAGAGUAUCGGAGAGGUUGGUGGAAUUCUCGGUGUAGAGGUGAAAUGCGUAGAUAUCAGGAGGAAUACCGGUGGCGAAAGCGACUCUCUGGACGGCAACUGACGCUGAGGCGCGAAAGCGUGGGGAGCAAACAGG
rnacentral:rRNA from 1 species